UCACCCUGCCUUGGAGCCAGCCAGUGAUGGACUGAAAGCUCUACACAUUGUGAGCUAAAAUAAACCUUUUCUCCUUUAACCUUGGGUGUUGGGUAUUUUGCCUCAGCAGUGAGAAAAGUAACUGAGAUGGUAAGAAAUCCCAGAAAUGUGACAACCAACGUUUAAUUUAUUGCCAUAGUGGAUGACAUGAAAAUAUAAAAAGUGAAGAUAUAAGACCACAUAGUGGCCUGAGAUCAAUGACUACUGGGUGCCUCCUCACCUCUUUACCUGGGCAACUAAGAAUUAUGAAUUCUUAAAGCAAUUUCCAGGAAUUGGGAUGGAUGGAUAGGAAGUGGGGAGUCUGAAAUUCUGAUGCCAGGUAUGUUGAGGGGAGACUGUGCCAUAAUAAAUAUUCUUAACUUGUAAAUUAAAGCACUAGAAACAACAAAUGAAUAAGGUUUUGAGCACAGUUAAGUAAGCUGAAACCUGAGAGCUAGGAUGAUGACACAGGGAUGCUAUGUGCUACUAAACCCGCUAAUUUCACUCUUCCUACAGAAAGGCUGUACUUCCCAGUUUGUGACCCAUGCAUGAGCUGUAGGCACGAGUGACGUGCUGUACCUCACUUCCAGAUGGCAUGGCGACCUCUUAAGGAAGGUCACGUCUGAUUUGCCACUUGGAGAUCAGCGUCAGAAUUUUUGUGUUGCUGUCAGUGCAGCUGGAAAAAUUCACACAAGACCUGUCACAGCUUGACGCCACCCUAUCCAUCCUUUGGGAGGGGCAACCUGUUAGAGUGAGCAUUGCAGGCUGCUCCAGGACCACUGCUCUAUACCUCCUCACCCUUGAUGGAUUCCCUCACACACGCAUGGUCUGCUCAGAGAACACAUGCAGACUGCAGUGUUUAAGGGAUGGAUGAAGAAGCUGUAUGCAGGCAAGAGAUUCAUCCCAUUCAGCAGAUAUAAGCAGUAUACCGUACUUACCGUAAUUUUCACCCAGCUGAUUUCCAAUUAACAUUUGUUAAAUAAAAUAAACUAAAG
rnacentral:lncRNA from 1 species